rnacentral:pre_miRNA from 1 species
GACCAUGUAAUUACUCUCUACUUCCACCAGACACUUGUUCUCUUGAAAAUGCAAUAUGAAUCUAGAGAACAGGUGUCUUAUGGAUGUUGAAAGUAAAGAGCAUGUUC